AGCUGAUCAUUGGGUAUAAAGCGUGCGCAGGCGGUUUUGUAAGACAGAGGUGAAAUCCCCGGGCUCAACCUGGGAACUGCCUUUGUGACUGCAAGGCUGGAGUGCGGCAGAGGGGGAUGGAAUUCCGCGUGUAGCAGUGAAAUGCGUAGAUAUGCGGAGGAACACCGAUGGCGAAGGCAAUCCCCCUGGGCCUGCACUGACGCUCAUGCACGAAAGCGUGGGGAGCAAACA
rnacentral:rRNA from 1 species